rnacentral:rRNA from 1 species
ACGCGUGAGAAUCUAGCUUCAGGUCUGGGACAACCACUGGAAACGGUGGCUAAUACCGGAUGUGCCGGAAGGUGAAAGGCUUGCUGCCUGAAGAUGAGCUCGCGUCCGAUUAGCUAGUAGGUGGGGUAAGAGCCUACCUAGGCGACGAUCGGUAGCUGGUCUGAGAGGAUGACCAGCCACACUGGGACUGAGACACGGCCCAGACUCCUACGGGAGGCAGCAGUGGGGAAUUUUCCGCAAUGGGCGAAAGCCUGACGGAGCAAUACCGCGUGAGGGAGGAAGGCUCUUGGGUUGUAAACCUCUUUUCUCAGGGAAGAACACAAUGACGGUACCUGAGGAAUCAGCAUCGGCUAACUCCGUGCCAGCAGCCGCGGUAAUACGGAGGAUGCAAGCGUUAUCCGGAAUGAUUGGGCGUAAAGCGUCCGCAGGUGGCUGUGUAAGUCUGCUGUCAAAGAGCAAAGCUCAACUUUGUAAAGGCAGUUGAAACUACACGGCUAGAGUGCGUUCGGGGCCAGAGGGAAUUCCUGGUGUAGCGGUGAAAUGCGUAGAGAUCAGGAAGAACACCGGUGGCGAAGGCGCUCUGCUAGGCCGCAACUGACACUGAGGGACGAAAGCUAGGGGAGCGAAUGGGAUUAGAUACCCC